UACGUAGGGUGCAAGCGUUGUCCGGAAUUAUUGGGCGUAAAGAGCUCGUAGGCGGUCCGUCACGUCGGCUGUGAAAACUCGGGGCUCAACCCCGAGCCUGCAGUCGAUACGGGCGGACUAGAGUCCGGCAGGGGAGACUGGAAUUCCUGGUGUAGCGGUGAAAUGCGCAGAUAUCAGGAGGAACACCGGUGGCGAAGGCGGGUCUCUGGGCAAUAACUGACGCUGAGGAGCGAAAGCGUGGGGAGCGAACAGG
rnacentral:rRNA from 1 species